UGGGGAAUAUUGCACAAUGGGCGCAAGCCUGAUGCAGCCAUGCCGCGUGUAUGAAGAAGGCCUUCGGGUUGUAAAGUACUUUCAGCGGGGAGGAAGGGAGUAAAGUUAAUACCUUUGCUCAUUGACGUUACCCGCAGAAGAAGCACCGGCUAACUCCGUGCCAGCAGCCGCGGUAAUACGGAGGGUGCAAGCGUUAAUCGGAAUUACUGGGCGUAAAGCGCACGCAGGCGGUUUGUUAAGUCAGAUGUGAAAUCCCCGGGCUCAACCUGGGAACUGCAUCUGAUACUGGCAAGCUUGAGUCUCGUAGAGGGGGGUAGAAUUCUAGGUGUAGCGGUGAAAUGCGUAGAGAUCUGGAGGAAUACCGGUGGCGAAGGCGGCCCCCUGGACAAAGACUGACGCUCAGGUGCGAAAGCGUGGGGAGCAAACAGG
rnacentral:rRNA from 1 species